GGCUAAGUCAUUGAUCUAGAACAAUACAUUGAUAACUCAUAAUCAUGGGGUCGGCGGUUCAAGUCCGCCCCUAGCCACCA
rnacentral:tRNA from 1 species